UACGGGGGGAGCAAGCGUUGUUCGGAUUUACUGGGCGUAAAGGGCGCGUAGGCGGUCGUGACAAGUCACUUGUGAAAUCUCCGGGCUUAACUCGGAACGGUCAAGUGAUACUGUCGGACUAGAGUACAGAAGGGGCAACUGGAAUUCUCGGUGUAGCGGUGAAAUGCGUAGAUAUCGAGAGGAACACCUGCGGCGAAGGCGGGUUGCUGGGCUGAUACUGACGCUGAGGCGCGAAAGCCAGAGGAGCGAACGGG
rnacentral:rRNA from 1 species